rnacentral:rRNA from 1 species
UUCCUUGGAAAAGGACAGCUGAGAGGGUGAAACUCCCGUCCGCCUGGUAGAAUGAGUCUUUGUCAACGAGUCGAGUUGUUUGGGAUUGCAGCUCUAAUUUGGUGGUAAAUUCCAUCUAAAGCUAAAUAUUGGUGGGAGACCGACAGCGUACAAGUACCGUGAGGGAAAGAUGCAAAGAACUUUGAAAAGAGAGUUAAAGAGUACCUGAAAUUGCUGAAACGGAAGCGAAGGAAACCAGUGUUUGUUGGUUCAUAUUUCCCUGGCCACUUGUGGUUUGGGCG